rnacentral:misc_RNA from 1 species
CACCUCCUAUCGCUACCAAACUAGAAGCGCCAAUGGGGUCAGGGUGAGACCGCCGACGCCGUUCCUCAACUUCGCCAUCGGUCGGAGUCUGCCAGGCGGCCGGGUUUAGGAACGCCAAUGCCGGGAGAGAAAUUAAGAUCGACCUGUGUGGAUCUUCCUCAAGCGCGAGAUGUAGGGAUGGAUGGCCUCGGCCAUGGUGUUCCCUUGCCGGUGCGGGUCUCGCCGCGGUGCCGCAACCCCGACGUGGACAGAUCUCGUCUCAACCUUGUCGCUGACGAGCAAGCUACAGAGGAUUCUGAGGUUCAGCUGGUAGAGACUGCUGAGCAGGAGCUCGUUGAAGACGAGCAAGCUACAGAGGAUUCUGAGGUUCAGCUGGUAGAGACUGCUGAGCAGGAGCUCGUUGAAGGAGAAGAAUAGGUGGUUCAAGUGGAGCCAAGUAUCGAGGAGUUCGAUUCGAUCUAGGUGGCGUCUCCCAGUCAGCUUUCUGGCGCCAAGGAUAGAUUUUAGAUCCUGCGAUAUUUAUCUCUUAUUUUGUAAGACUUCCGCU